rnacentral:rRNA from 1 species
UACGUAGGGUGCAAGCGUUGUCCGGAAUUACUGGGCGUAAAGGGCUCGUAGGCGGCCAACUAAGUCAUACGUGAAAUCCCUCAGCUUAACUGGGGAACUGCGUGUGAUACUGGAUGGCUUGGAUUUGGGAGAGGGAUGCGGAAUUCCAGGUGUAGCGGUGAAAUGCGUAGAUAUCUGGAGGAACACCGAUGGCGAAGGCAGCCCCCUGGGCUAACACUGACGCUCAUGCACGAAAGCGUGGGGAGCAAACAGG